GGCUUAACACAUGCAAGGUCGAGGGGGCAGCAGGGCAAUAGCUUGCUAUUGCUGCUGGCGACCGGCGCACGGGUGAGUAACGCGUAUCCAACUACCCCGCGGUCAGGGACAGCCGGCGAAAGUCGGAUUAAUACCUGAUGCAGUCAGAAGAGGGCAUCUGAUUUUUGACGAAAGAUUUAUCGCCUCGGGAUGGGGGAUGCGUAGGAUUAGGCAGGCGGCGGGGUAACGGCCCACCGCGCCGACGAUCCUUAGGGGUUCUGAGAGGAAGGUCCCCCACACUGGUACUGAGACACGGACCAGACUCCUACGGGAGGCAGCAGUGAGGAAUAUUGGUCAAUGGGCGCGAGCCUGAACCAGCCAAGUAGCGUGCAGGACGACGGCCCUAUGGGUUGUAAACUGCUUUUAUGCGGGGAUAAAGUGCGGCACGUGUGCCGUUUUUGUAGGUACCGCAUGAAUAAGGACCGGCUAAUUCCGUGCCAGCCGCGGC
rnacentral:rRNA from 1 species